GACGAACGCUGGCGGCGUGCUUAACACAUGCAAGUCGAACGGUAAGGCCUUCGGGUACACGAGUGGCGAACGGGUGAGUAACACGUGGGUGAUCUGCCCCCUACUCUGGGAUAAGCCUGGGAAACUGGGUCUAAUACCGGAUAUGACCUCCUUCUGCAUGGUUGGUGGUGGAAAGUUUUUUCGGUAGGGGAUGAGCCCGCGGCCUAUCAGCUUGUUGGUGGGGUAAUGGCCUACCAAGGCGACGACGGGUAGCCGGCUUGAGAGGGCGACCGGCCAAACUGGGACUGGGACACGGCCCAGACUCCUACGGGAGGCAGCAGUGGGGAAUAUUGCACAAUGGGCGAAAGCCUGAUGCAGCGACGCCGCGUGGGGGAUGACGGCCUUCGGGUUGUAAACCCCUUGCAGUCGGGACGAAGCGAGAGUGACGGUACCGAUAGAAGAAGCACCGGCCAACUACGUGCCAGCCGCCGCCGUAAUAC
rnacentral:rRNA from 1 species